UUUACUAUAAUUCUCUUGGAGAAUAUGGCUUUGCAUGUCAAAUUUUUGUUCUGAUAUGCUUACCUUCUAGUGGUAUGUGCUGGCACGUUGUCCUGUAUGCAAUAGAGGCUUGAAGGAGACAGUUCAUCCCAAUGCUCUCAGAGACUGCAGCCACUCUCUUCUUCGGAAGCCAAGGUCACACUAGGCACCAUCUGGUCUCUGAUAUGGUUUAAAAUAACAAUCUAGCCAGGAUACAACCAGCAGAAGGACUUUACCCCUUUCACAACCCAGUAUGAGAGCUUCCCCACCUAUAUUUCUCCACACACAUUGUCACCAUCAGAUCACGUUCCCUCCAGAGAGGUCUUGCAGAAAGCAGGGUCUUGCAGCUCUUGCUUUCCAUCCCUUUCAUCAAACAUAGUCAUUUUAUGGCAACAAAAUGGAUGCACUAGAGAAGCUUAUAGCUAGGAAUGUGGGAGGUCUGCUGUAAACAGCUCAGUCAGAGAAUUUGUAGUUGGAGCUCACUUCUGCAUUUAAGCUGCCCUCUGGUGCUUACCACUUCUGCAGUGCAUGCCUUCAUCAUGUGCCCUGGUGCCUGGAGACACCUGCAAUAUCCAGGGAGAAGAGGGAAUCAAGCAUUGCAAAACAUUCCUCUAAAAAAAAAAAAAAUU